UUUUCACCUGGUUAUCGUCGAAGAUUAAAUUUAAAUUGGUAAAAAAAUUGUUAUUAGAGAUAAUGAUAAUUUAAAUUUAUUAGAAAAAACAACAUUGAGUAGAGUUGUUAUUUCUCAAGAAGGAAGUUGGGUUACUGUAGAAACAUACGUUGAAGUACUUUUUUUGAUACAUAGCUACGAAACAGAGGCUGUAUCAAAGUUUUCAUGCUAUAGUGCUGCUAAAAACUAUGGAAAUAUGGGAUGUAAAUUGCUUGGUUGUAUGCACGGGAAUGAUAGAAAAGCCUCUUCUAAAGAAGUUUAUAAAAUUCAUUUAUUAUUAUAAUAUGUUUUUCUUUAUCAAUUUGUUUCCAAAAUAGCUCCUGUAUUUAAUGAUUAUAUGUCUAAACCUUUUAUUUUUGUU